AUGGAUUGGCCGGCUCUCACCAGCUUCACGGCGGUCACAAUCCUUAUUUUCCUACCGUUGAGCGCUUCUGACGAUCGGCUUGUCCCUGGCAGGGCGCUGUCCCCAGGUAACUUCAUCCUCUCCGAUGAUGGUGGAUUCGCCUUGGGCUUCUUCAGCCCCUCCAACUCCACUCCUGCUAGCCUGUACCUAGGCAUAUGGUACACCGGCAUCCCCGAGCUCACAGUCAUGUGGGUCGCCAAUCGAGAAACCCCGGCCACCAACACCACUUCCUCUCCACCAACGGUCUCCCUCACCAACACCUCUAAUCUGGUUCUCUCCGAUGGUAAUGGUGGCCACCGUGUCCUUUGGACAACGACCAACGUGGCCACCGCCGUGGGCUCAUCUACCUCAACGGUAGUGCUUCUGAACACUGGCAACCUCGUUAUUCGGUUGUCAAAUGGCACCAUGUUGUGGCAGAGCUUCGACCACCGCACUGACACAUUCCUCCCUGGCAUGAAGCUACGGAUAAAGAAUAGCACACAGGGCACCGCCGAGCAUCUAGUAUCCUGGAAAGGCCCUAAUGACCCUUCGUUGGGGCGCUUCUCCUAUGGCAGUGACCCGAACAGAUCCCUCCAAGUAUUCCUAUGGGAUGGGGAGCACUCGGUGUCUCGCAGCGCCCCAUGGACAGGGUACCUAGUGAUGAGCCAAAGCCAACAACAACUUGGGGGGACAAGGGCAACUAACGUCAGUGAUUUUAUCAUCUAUGUGGCCUUCGUCGACAAGGACGAUGAGAUGUACAUCACCUAUAGCCUCUCGGACGGCGCCCCACGCACCAGGUUAGUGCUAACCUACUAUGGCGAGUAUCAGCUCCAGAGUUGGAGCAAUAAGUCGUCAGCGUGGGCUGUCCUUUGGAAGUGGCCGUCUGCUGAAUGCAACCGCUACAAUUAUUGUGGCCCAAAUGGAUACUGCGAUGAGACAUCCACCACGCCUGCCGUGCCAGCAUGCAAGUGUCUCGACGGCUUUGAGCCGACUAACACACAGGAAUGGAGUGUAGGCAGAUUCUCGGCGGGGUGCCAAAGGAAGAAGGCGCCGCGAUGCAGUGACGACUUCUUAGCCUUGCCGGGGAUGAAGUCACCUGACAUGUUUUCUUCCGUGGGCGGGGACAGGAGUACGUUCGAGGAGUGCACAUCAGCGUGCAGCCGCAAUUGCUCGUGCGUGGCAUACACGUUCAGCAACCUGAGCACCGGCAGGUCUGGAGGAGACGUGACGAGAUGCUUGGUGUGGAAUGGGGAGUUGGUUGACAUAGGAAAGAUAGGGGAGCUUGGCGGUGAGACACUUUAUCUCCGGCAUGCACGCAUGGAUGCAACAACUGGUAGAAGAACAAAGAGAAAAGCAAUGAGGAUUGUGUUGCCAGUUUUAAGUUCUAGUGUUUUGGUAAUCAUCUGCAUCUUUCUUGCAUGGUUAAAAUUCAAAGGCAAGAACAAAAAAUGGAGAAAUCAAAAUAAGAUAAGUUUGGUUGGUAUGAAUACCUCUAAUGAAUUUGGAGAAGGAAAUCCUCCCCAUGAUCGGGAAUUUCCAUUUGUAAGAUUAGAAGAAAUUGUGCUGACAACCCACAAUUUCUCUGAAACAUGCAUGAUUGGACGAGGAGGCUUUGGUAAAGUAUACAAGGGAAUGGUAGGUGGUCAAGAAGCUGCAAUCAAGAGGCUAAGUAGAGAUUCUCAACAAGGAACAAAUGAAUUUAGAAACGAAGUAAUUCUGAUUGCCAAAUUGCAACACAGAAACUUGGUUCGACUUCUUGGAUGUUGCAGUGAGGGAGAUGAAAAGCUCCUAAUUUACGAGUAUCUGCCUAAUAAGAGCUUAGAUGCUACCCUUUUUGAUGACUCAAGAAAAUUGUUGUUGGACUGGGAGACACGAUUUAGUAUAAUCAAAGGGGUUGCAAGGGGACUAAUGUAUCUUCACGAAGAUUCAAGGUUCACCAUAAUUCAUAGAGAUCUCAAAGUUGGAAAUAUUUUGCUAGAUGCCGAUUUGAAACCCAAGAUAGCAGAUUUUGGUAUGGCUAGAAUCUUUGGUGAUAACCAGCAAAAUGCAAAUACCCAACGUGUUGUUGGAACAUAUGGCUACAUGGCUCCUGAGUAUGCAAUGGAAGGCGUCUUCUCUACCAAGUCUGAUGUCUAUAGUUUUGGCGUGUUACUACUGGAGGUUGUAACUGGCAUAAGAAGAAACUCCAUUAGUCAAACCAUGGGAUUCCCUAGCCUCACAGUUUAUUCAUGGAAUAUGUGGAAGGAAGCGAAGACCGAGGAACUGCUAGACUCAUGUAUCGUAAAUACUUCACCGGUCGAAGUUUUGCUUUGCGUCCAUGUGGCACUCUUGUGUGUCCAGGAGAACCCAGAUGAUAGGCCGCUUAUGUCAUCUGUUGUGUUCAUCCUAGAGAAUAGAAUCACCACACUUACAGCCCCCAGUUGCCCCGCCUACUUCGCACGACAAAGUGCUGAAAUUGCUAAUAUAAAAAAUGACAUUCGGACUUCCGUGAACAGUUUUACUCUUACCGAGAUAGCGGGGCGAUGA
rnacentral:rRNA from 1 species